UACGGAGGGUGCGAGCGUUGUCCGGAAUCACUGGGCGUAAAGGGCGCGUAGGCGGCAUGCCAAGCGUGUGGUGAAAGCCCGGGGCUCAACCCCCGGGUCGGCCGUGCGGACUGGCGUGCUCGAGCACUGUAGGGGCGGGUGGAAUUCCGGGUGUAGCGGUGGAAUGCGUAGAGAUCCGGAAGAACACCGGUGGCGAAGGCGGCCCGCUGGGCAGGAAGGCUCGCAAGAGCCGGCUGACGCUGAGGCGCGACAGCGUGGGGGAGCAAACAGG
rnacentral:rRNA from 1 species